rnacentral:sRNA from 1 species
AUUUCCACUUGUUGCGGGCUGAUGAAAUGCACAUGUGAAUCGACCCCGCCUGCAGUGACAAUCAGGUUCUCGCCGGAGAUGACCUCCGUUCCGACACCGAUAAUCAUGCCAUCCGUUACACCAUCCAUCAUCAUGGGAUUACCUGCCUUGCCGAUUCCGCUAAUGAGUCCGUCUUUAAUCCCGAUAUCGGCUUUGACGAUGCCCCAGGUAUCGAUGAUAAUGGCGUUGGUAAUGACCAGAUCGAGCACGCCUUCUGCACGGGUAGCCAGUGGAUGCUGGCCCAUCCCGUCACGAAU